rnacentral:rRNA from 1 species
GACGAACGCUGGCGGCGUGCUUAACACAUGCAAGUCGAACGAAGUGGCGAACGGGUGAGUAACGCGUAAUCAACCUGCCCUUCAGAGGGGGACAACAGUUGGAAACGACUGCUAAUACCGCAUACAGAAGGAGGGGCUUGCGUCUGAUUAGCUAGUUGGCGGGGUAACGGCCGACCAAGGCGAUGAUCAGUAGCAGGGCUGAGAGGAUGACCGGCCACAUUGGGACUGAGACACGGCCCAGACUCCUACGGGAGGCAGCAGUGGGGAAUCUUCCGCAAUGGACGAAAGUCUGACGGAGCAACGCCGCGGGAGUGAUGACGGCCUUCGGGUUGUAAAGCUCUGUUAAUCGGGACGCGGUACCGGAAUAGAAAGCCACGGCUAACUACGUGCCAGCAGCCGCGGUAAUAC